CCAGACUCCUACGGGAGGCAGCAGUGAGGAAUAUUGGUCAAUGGCCGGAAGGCUGAACCAGCCAAGCCGCGUGAAGGACGAAGGUGCCAAGCAUUGUAAACUUCUUUUGUCAAGGGACAAAAUCAGGCUCGAGAGCCUGACCGAGGGUACUUGAAGAAAAGGCAUCGGCUAACUCCGUGCCAGCAGCCGCGGUAAUACGGAGGAUGCGAGCGUUAUCCGGAUUUAUUGGGUUUAAAGGGUGCGUAGGCGGGCUUUUAAGCCAGCGGUAAACGCCCGGGGCUCACCCCGGGCGAGCCGUUGAAACUGCAUCCCUUGAGUGCGCGAGAAGUAUGCGGAAUGCGUGGUGUAGCGGUGAAAUGCAUAGAUAUCACGCAGAACUCCGAUUGCGAAGGCAGCAUACCGGCGCGCAACUGACGCUCAUGCACGAAAGCGUGGGCAUCGAACAGGAUUAGAUACCCUUGUA
rnacentral:rRNA from 1 species